UACAGAGGGUGCGAGCGUUAAUCGCAAUUACUGGGCGUAAAGCGUGCGUAGACGGUUAUUUAAGUCGGAUGUGAAAGCCCCGGGCUCAACCUGGGAAUUGCAUUCGAGACUGAAUAGCUAGGGUGCGGUAGAGGGAAGCGGAAUUUCCGGUGUAGCGGUGAAAUGCGUAGAUAUCGGAAGGAACAUCAGUGGCGAAAGCGGCUUCCUGGACCAGCACCGACGUUCAGGCACGAAAGCGUGGGGAGCAAACAGG
rnacentral:rRNA from 1 species